rnacentral:rRNA from 1 species
AGUGAACGCUGGCGGUAGGCCUAACACAUGCAAGUCGAACGGCAGCACAGUAAGAGCUUGCUCUUACGGGUGGCGAGUGGCGGACGGGUGAGGAAUACAUCGGAAUCUACUUUUUCGUGGGGGAUAACGUAGGGAAACUUACGCUAAUACCGCAUACGACCUACGGGUGAAAGCAGGGGAUCUUCGGACCUUGCGCGAUUGAAUGAGCCGAUGUCGGAUUAGCUAGUUGGCGGGGUAAAGGCCCACCAAGGCGACGAUCCGUAGCUGGUCUGAGAGGAUGAUCAGCCACACUGGAACGGAGACACGGUCCAGACUCCUACGGGAGGCAGCAGUGGGGAAUAUUGGACAAUGGUCGCAAGCCUGAUCCAGCCAUACCGCGUGGGUGAAGAAGGCCUUCGGGUUGUAAAGCCCUUUUGUUGGGAAAGAAAAGCAGCAGGUUAAUACCCCGCUGUUCUGACGGUACCCAAAGAAUAAGCACCGGCUAACUUCGUG